rnacentral:lncRNA from 1 species
CUGAUUGCUCUCUCUUUGUGGUCUUGCUGCAUAUUAAGUCAAUUUUUUCAGCCCCACUGCAGAGAAGUGAAGUCCACAGCUAUAAUGACCUCCCUUAUCCAUGAAGCUCUGCACUACUGCUUUGGAAAGAAAGAAGGUCUGUGAAAAUCACAGAAGAUUCACGUGUAAUUGAUGGUAUCUAAUCAAUUCUUCCUGACCUACUUGGAGGGAGACCAUAUCAACUCCACUGUCCAAAGGGAACAACAGACAGUGUAUGACACAUCCAAAGAUAGCAUUAAUCAAUCGAGGGCCUGUCCUUGUCCAGUUACUUCUGAGAUUCAAGUGCAAACUCCCAGAACAGCGGCCCUCCCUCUUCCUGCUCAGGUCACCCAUGGCAUGUCUGAAACAAUGCCUCCACUCUCCCAACACCAAGAGAAAAAGAAGGAUAAAGAAAAGAGAAUGGCAAAGAAGCAAUUGAGCAGAUGGAGGAAACCUAUCCCAGCUGCUGGCAGCAAUGAACAAGGAAACCCAAUCUCAGUUUGGAAAGGGGAAUGUCUGCAGAGACUUGGCCAGGAUUAUAAUGAAAGGAGAAAAUUUAUUAAAUGUUGUGGAAAUGACACCAAUCUUUUUCUCAUAACUCAAACGGCCUGAACCUCUCUCAUUAUAGUCACAAAUGUCAAUGGAUCCUGAAUCAGUGAAACAAAAGUGAAGAUCUUUAAUAUAUAGGGAGCUAAGAGAGCCAAGGCCAUGGUCAAAGGAACAUAAUGGGCUCCAAGUGAAGAUGGUCUCAUCCAUAAGGCAGAGUCCAGACAGCACAAGAUAAGACCUCAGGCAAUCAGCAGCCCUGGGUGUGUGGUCCUUGCUUAAAGAGCAGAGGUGUAGGAACCUGGAGAUAUUAUGGUAGAGUGAUAGACCAACAGCUUGUCUCCUCCAAGAAGACCUCUCUGGCUUCCUCUCCAGGAGCAAGUGACCCUCCCAAGUCUCCUCCACUUAGCUCUAUUUUUGGCAUGCUACACUUCACAUCUAAAAGUUUUUCCAUACAACUAAAUAAGUGAUGUCUCUU